rnacentral:tRNA from 1 species
GAUAAAGUGCCUGAAUUAAAGGAUUAUUUUGAUAGAAUAUUAAAUGUAAAUUAAAUUACCUUUAUUG